GAUGAACGCUGGCGGCGUGCCUAAUACAUGCAAGUCGAGCGAACGGACGAGAAGCUUGCUUCUCUGAUGUUAGCGACGGACGGGUGAGUAACACGUGGAUAACCUACCUAUAAGACUGGGAUAACUUCGGGAAACCGGAGCUAAUACCGGAUAAUAUUUUGGACCGCAUGGUUCAAAAGUGAAAGACGGUCUUGCUGUCACUUAUAGAUGGAUCCGCGCUGCAUUAGCUAGUUGGUAAGGUAACGGCUUACCAAGGCAACGAUGCAUAGCCGACCUGAGAGGGUGAUCGGCCACACUGGAACUGAGACACGGUCCAGACUCCUACGGGAGGCAGCAGUAGGGAAUCUUCCGCAAUGGGCGAAAGCCUGACGGAGCAACGCCGCGUGAGUGAUGAAGGUCUUCGGAUCGUAAAACUCUGUUAUUAGGGAAGAACAUAUGUGUAAGUAACUGUGCACAUCUUGACGGUACCUAAUCAGAAAGCCACGGCUAACUACGUG
rnacentral:rRNA from 1 species